rnacentral:rRNA from 1 species
AGAAUCUUUCGCAAUGCCCGAAAGGGUGACGAAGCGACGCCGCGUGUGGGAAGAAGGCCUUCGGGUUGUGAACCACUGUCGGGAGUUAAGAAAUGCAAGGGUGUUAAUAGCGCCCUUGCUUGACUAAGGCUCCGGAGGAAGCUACGGCUAACUCUGUGCCAGCAGCCGCGGUAAUACAGAGGUGGCAAGCGUUGUUCGGAAUUAUUGGGCGUAAAGAGCACGUAGGCGGCCUUGAAAGUCAGUUGUGAAAUCCUUCCGCUUAACGGAAGAACUGCAUCUGAUACUCCAGGGCUCGAGUGCGGGAGGGGAGAGUGGAACUUCUGGUGGAGCGGUGAAAUGCGUAGAUAUCAGAAGGAACGCCGGCGGCGAAAGCGGCUCUCUGGUCCGUAACUGACGCUGAGUGUGCGAAAGCUAGGGGAUCAAACGGGAUUAGAUACCCCGGUAGUCCUAGCCGUAAACGAUGGGCACUAAGUAGAGGGGUUUUGAUUAUCUCUCUGCCGGAGCUAACGCAUUAAGUGCCCCGCCUGGGAAGUACGGCCGCAAGGCUAAAACUCAAAAGAAUUGACGGGGGCUCGCACAAGCGGUGGAGCAUGUGGCUUAAUUCGAUGCAACGCGAAGAACCUUACCGGGGUUUGACAUGGUAGAAGUAGGAACCCGAAAGGGUAACGAACGGUAUCCAGUCCGUAACUAUCACAGGUGUUGCAUGGCUG